rnacentral:rRNA from 1 species
UCCUACGGGAGGCAGCAGUAGGGAAUCUUCCGCAAUGGACGAAAGUCUGACGGAGCAACGCCGCGUGAGUGAUGAAGGCUUUCGGGUCGUAAAACUCUGUUGUUAGGGAAGAACAAGUGCUAGUUGAAUAAGCUGGCACCUUGACGGUACCUAACCAGAAAGCCACGGCUAACUACGUGCCAGCAGCCGCGGUAAUACGUAGGUGGCAAGCGUUAUCCGGAAUUAUUGGGCGUAAAGCGCGCGCAGGUGGUUUCUUAAGUCUGGUGUGAAAGCCCACGGCUCAACCGUGGAGGGUCAUUGGAAACUGGGAGACUUGAGUGCAGAAGAGGAAAGUGGAAUUCCAUGUGUAGCGGUGAGAUGCGUAGAGAUAUGAAGGAACACCAGUGGCGAAGGCGACUUUCUGGUCUGCAACUGACACUGAGGCGCGAAAGCGUGGGGAGCAAACAGGAUUAGAUACCCUGGUAGUCCACGCCGUAAACGAUGAGUGCUAAGUGUUAGAGGGUUUCCGCCCUUUAGUGCUGAAGUUAACGCAUUAAGCACUCCGCCUGGGGAGUACGGCCGCAAGGCUGAAACUCA